rnacentral:rRNA from 1 species
AUGGGAAUAUUGGACAAUGGGCGCAAGCCUGAUCCAGCCACGCCGCGUGAGUGAUGAAGGCCUUCGGGUCGUAAAGCUCUUUUAUUGGGGACAAAGGGAAACUUGAUGGUACCCAAAGAAAAAGCACCGGCUAACUCCGUGCCAGCAGCCGCGGUAAUACGGAGGGUGCAAGCGUUGCUCGGAAUUAUUGGGCGUAAAGCGUAUGUAGGCGGUUUUCUAAGUCUGAUGUGAAAUCCCGGGGCUUAACUCCGGAACUGCAUUGGAUACUGGAAAGCUAGAGGACGAUAGAGGAUGGUGGAAUUCCUGGUGUAGGGGUGAAAUCCGUAGAUAUCAGGAGGAACAUCAGUGGCGAAGGCGGCCAUCUGGAUCGUACCUGACGCUGAGAUACGAAAGCGUGGGGAGCAAACAGG